CCUCAGUCUGUCGAGCUACCAAGUCCUCUGCAGAAGAGAUAACAGGAUUUUUCAGCUAUCGGCAGCUUCAUUUCAAACAGAGGCUGGAGUCCAACCAUGAAAAAACUAAGAACUCAGAGGAGCAACAUGGAAGGAGACAAUGAGAUCUACAGAAAGACAGCUGGUAGCAAAUGAAGCCAAGAAAUACAGACUUUUAUUCAUCCCAUUUCCCAACAGAAGAGAAAAACAUUUUCUAUUGCACUAAACUAUUUUAAGAUAAUAUCCACAGCAACAAAGGCUCUAACUGCAGGAUCAUUAUCCAUAGACUAAAGUGAGAGCCAGCACAAUGCUGGUAAAAUGCUGGGUCGUGGAAAUCCAGGGUCAAACUUAAUUUAGACCUAAAGUUCCCUGGUGAUUUUAGGACAGUUCUUCUCUGUCAGCCUAAACUACCUCCCAGGACUACUAUGAAGGCACUGGGGAGUGGCCACCUAUCCUGAGAUUCUUAGAGGCCAGACAGCAUAAAACGAGAAUGCAGUAAUGAAAAUGUAUCCUCACUGAUGUUUAUCAUAUGCACACUUCCUUGGAGUAAGCCUCAGACAAGUCAAGUUCAAUUCCUUGUGACUUCAGGUACAUGUCCAUGUUAUUUUCUUAGUCACCGUACAGGAAUGGUUUGCCACUGCCUUCUUCCAUGAUGUUUUUUUCAAUUCCCC